rnacentral:lncRNA from 1 species
CCAUUUGCAAUUAAAUUCAACAUCAAAAGAGGAAUCAAAAACCAAAUCAAAAAGGGAUUUCAAAACCCUAGAUGGAUGGGAUUCUUUAGCUAUAAAAGAGCAGCCUCCAAACCAGCAAAGGGACAUCAUCUCAGCAUCCUCUCCUCCUCGGGAAUUCUGCAGAAAUACAGCAGAACUUACUUUCUUCUUUUCUUCUCUUCUUUUGUGUAUUUUUGUCCACCAUGAGU